UACGGGGGGGAGCAAGCGUUGUUCGGAUUUACUGGGCGUAAAGGGCGCGUAGGCGGUCGUGACAAGUCACUUGUGAAAUCCCCGGGCUUAACCUGGGAACUGCAUUUGUGACUGCAUGGCUGGAGUGCGGCAGAGGGGGAUGGAAUUCCGCGUGUAGCGGUGAAAUGCGCAGAUAUCAGGAGGAACACCGGUGGCGAAGGCGGGUCUCUGGGCCGAUACUGACGCUGAGGAGCGAAAGCGUGGGGAGCGAACAGG
rnacentral:rRNA from 1 species